AGACACUUUUCAAAAGAAGACAUACAGGUGGUCAACAAGCAUAUUUUAAAGCUUCAAUAUCACUGGUCAUUAACGAAAUGCAAAUUAAAACUACAAUGAGACACCAUCUCACACCAGUCAAAAUGGCUCUUACUAAAGGGUCAGAAAAUAACAGAUGCUAGUAAGGUUGCAGAGAAAAGCGAACAUUUGUAUACAGUGGGUGGGAGUGUAAAUUAGUUCAACCAUUGUGGAAAGCAGUGGGGCAAUUCCUCAAAGAAAUAAAAGCAGAACUGCCAUUCAACCCAGCAACCCCAUUACUGGGUACAUACCCAGAGAAAUAUAAAUUAUUCUACCAUAAAGACAUAUGCAUGCAAAUGUUCAUUGCAGCACUAUUCACAAUAGCAAAGAUAUGGAAUCAACCUAAGUGCCCAUCAAUAACACACUGGAUAAAGAAAGUGUGGUACAUAUAUACCAUGGAAUAGUAUGCAGCCAUAAAAAAGAAUGAGAUCAUGUCUAAGGAACAUGGAUAGAACUAGAGGCUAUUAUCCUUAGCGAACUAGUGCAGGAACAGAAAACCAAAUACUGCACGUUCUCACUUAUAAGUGGGAGCUAAUUGAUGAGAACUCUUGAACACAAUGAAGGGAACAACAGACACUAGGGUCUACUUGAGGGUGGAAGAUGGGAAGAGGGAGAGGAGCAGAAAAAAUACCUAUUGGUGUUGAAAUUAUACAACAAACCUCUGCGACAUGAGUUUACCUAUAUAACAAACCUUCACAUGUACCCUCGAACCUAAAAUAAAAGUUUUUUAAUUGUAAAUAAAUUGAUCAUUAAUUUAAAAUGUUUUAAUAAUCAAAUUGUCUUAUCAAGUUCUCUUAUUGAAUAAUUUGGAGCAAAUUAUUCAAUAAGAAUAUUGAAAACAUAAAUUCUUCUCAUAAAGGACCAUAUUUUAUCCUUCCAUUUAUUCAGUUUUAUACUUGUUGUUGUAACUGUGAAAGUAAUCCUUUCCCAUUAAAUUUUAUUUACUGAUUAUUACCUAUUACAGAAAGCUACUGUUAUUUAUAUAUAAUUUUGUCUACUGAAUACUAGAUAGCAUCAUUUUCAUCUUUUACCCGGUGGCAUCGGGAAGCCUGUGGUGGCUACGUAACAUCCCCAACUUUCAAUUCAUGGAAUCCUAAUUGAUUUAGGGGAUGGAAGCAUUCCUCGCCAGGCACUAAAACCUCUGAUAAUUCUUGUUUCUGUUGGAAAAUGAUUCUGCCAGGGCACCCUGAUGUAUUUGUAUGUGUAAAGGAGGAAAACGUAAUUUUUCCAAUAUCCGUCUAAGUUUCCCCUACCCAGAUCCUCUGGGGCCCCUGUAACAAAAGACAGAUUAACAAGAGAAAAACAGAAGUUGGUUAGCAUGUAUAUAGCGAGAGAAAAAUAGAAGUUUAUUAGCAUAUAUACACACACAUGCAUAUAUGUGUGUGUGUGUACAUAUAUAUGUACACACAUAUGGGAGAUACUCAGAGAAAUGAAUAACUCUCCAAGAGGUGGUUGAGACUUCAAAGUUAAAUACCAUCUCCAGCUAAAGACAAAGAAAGAAGAAUGUGGGAAAGUCAGUUACGGGGAUGACCAGGAAGAACAUGGUAAACAAGAGUAAGGUUUGCUGUGCAGAUUUGAGCUGUAUUCUCCAUUGAUAAGAGUCCCUUGUGAUUUAGAAUCAUCCUUCUUUUCCUGGUUCAGAGAGGGAGACAUCCUUAUGAAUAGAGAUUUCCUUUGUAAAUGUAAACUUUCCUAACCAAGAAGUAACUUCUACUCUGUUUUUAGAGCUUCUCCUAUGUCUCCUAUUUCUGAAAAUAAUCCUUAUGCCAAAGAAGCAUAUUCUAGGGUGGCAUAUUUUGGCCUCCCAUACAUGUCUCCACAUAGACCCCAGAGGCAGAACUUAACUGCAGCUGAUCUGAUCUAAGUCUUGGCAGAAUACCUGUGGUCCUUUCAGAACAUUUGCACAUGGAAGGCAUGAGAGGAGCUGCAUGAAGGCCAUUCCCCACUCUCCUGCUUAUCUUUUGGAGGCUACCAUGACACUCAUUACUUCCUAGGUUCUGAUGAGGUCUGAGGCUUUCUAUUUCACCCCCACUAGGUAGCCUGUGAUAUGAAAUCCAUUGUAGUAGGAAAAGCAAAGUGGAGACCCUUGAAAUUGCCAUCCCCCAAGCAAAAUAAUGCAAUUGCAGGGAUUGGCACUCUCAAUGACCUAAAAAAUAUCAACUGGUCUCCAAAAUAUCCCUAUUCAAUUCACUUGUAUGUCACCAUCUCUGUUAAAAACAGAUCACUGUCUUCAUUGCUCGAUGUCCAGUGUUAUGUAGAUUGCAUGGAUUUAGUUUUUUCAGGUGGGCAGGUAAAUCUGGUCCCUGUUCACUCUCUUGGUCUCGUUAAUCAACAAAUUGUUAAGGCACUCAACUUCUCUAUUAAUAAAGAGGACUUUUUACAGAUAAACUGUGAAAAAUUUUAAAUGUUUAGUGUAUAAUAUGUUAAGUUUUAAAAGGUAAUAGAACAGUAAAAUAUACAAAAUAUAUGCUAUGUUUGUAUACUUGUAUACAUGUACAAAGUAUAUUUAUAAAUUUACAAAAUAUUUUAUACAUUUAUAAAGUACAUUUAAAUAUUUAUACUUAUAAUUUUUAUAUGUGCACACUAAAAUGUAUAAAAAGAUGUAACCAAUGUUUACAAGGAAGAUAUAUAUUAUAAUAUUUGAUAUUUUCUAAUAAAAAAUACUAAUGUUAUGAAUAUUUUGAAAAAAUAUAAGCACUUUGGCUCCAACACAGAUCACCCCACCACCCCAGGGAUGGGCCCAUGGCCACCAGGAGUACAAUGUUUCUUUGAAAAGAAUUCACCAUAUCAGAAAGGAAGGAGGCUCACUGAGCAGACCACUGUCUAUGGAAACUUUGAAGGCAAUAAAAUAGUAUUCAAUUCUAUGGGGAUCGUCUCUGGAUCAAGCUGUGGUUUUUUCAGAAAGGCAAAACAUGGCAUAGUAGUAGCAGUUCCCAAAGUAACAAAAUCAGGGGUUUUUCCGUGAUCCAGCACUAUGGCCAGUCUCAGCACAGAUUCCACCAAGCGCUCAGCACAAAGCAACAAUAAUUCAGAUUGCAGAAUUCGAACACAAUCUGUGGGGGCCAUUGAAAAACUGAAAUUCUCUGAGAGAAAAAAGUCUUGAAGGGCCACUAGACCUGAUAAAUUAUAAAGAUGUUGCCCAGCAAAUUGGAAAUUUACCCUUUUUUCCCCUCUGGAGGAAGAAUUUAUAUUGGGAGUUCUCAACUAUGGUAUAAAGUAUCAACAUCAGAUCAGCGCCAUGUUUUGCAUAGGCAUGCUCUAUUCUUAAUCAUCAGAUGUUAUGUUAUGAUGAUGGUCUGGAGGCAGGAAGAAGUUUAGUGACUCUGAAGACCAUGUGCUUGUGAGCAAUGAAGAAUACAGCCUGUGGGUUUAUUAGUGCAACAGACUGGAACAAGCACAAGCAAUCUGCAAAGUUUUACCCACUGAUUUUUGACCCUAUCUUGACAUCAGAGGAAUCUUCAAUUCUGCAACCUAGUGGAAGUCAACUUAAUCUGAAGGUUCAGCUGUUCUCUAAAUAGUAGUUUUGUUUUCGAUCUGCAAUGUUGUACUUUUCUGGAAAUAUGAAGUAAUUCCUUGCUCCAGAAUUUCUAAAAAAAAAAAAAAAAAAAAAAAAA